AUAACAGCAUGAAAAGACCGAUAUUUCAAGUGAGCAUACGCAAAAAUAGACAAAGCUCUUCAACCCGAUAAAGAUGGGAAGAUUCAUAGUAGAUCAACAGGACAAGAAAAAAGGCGUAUUACCAAAGCCUCGUCCACCACGUCCACCCAUCAUUCUUCCACCUGGACCUCGUCCAUAACCUCUACCAGCACCAAAGCCAUCAGAGGGUUGACUGCAUCAACUUAAAGAUCAUCAGAACCUUUUUAUUUUAUUUUUUUGGAUAAUGGUAACAAUUUUAUAUAUAAGGGGAGAACUACACAAGUUGUGAAGUCUCCAUCAAACCAGUAUCAUUCCAAAUUAGAGAAAAAGGAACAGGUAAUGCAAUAAUCACACUCUCCAGAGUGCAUUUACAUUUUUUUUUUUUUUUAAAAGGAGGCUUUCCCACCUCUGCCAAUCCAAAGCUGGAGUGUCAAUUAAAGCU
rnacentral:lncRNA from 1 species